GCACGGCCCCAGCGCUGACAGGAUGUGAUGGAGCUGCUUGAAGAAGAUCUCACGUGCCCUAUUUGUUGUAGUCUGUUUGAUGAUCCACGGGUUUUGCCGUGCUCCCACAACUUCUGCAAAAAAUGCUUAGAAGGGAUCUUAGAGGGGAGUGUGCGGAAUUCCUUGUGGAGACCAGCUCCUUUCAAGUGUCCUACGUGCCGUAAGGAAACUUCAGCUACUGGAAUUAAUAGCCUGCAGGUUAAUUACUCCCUGAAGGGUAUUGUGGAAAAGUAUAACAAGAUCAAGAUCUCUCCCAAAAUGCCAGUAUGCAAAGGACACUUGGGGCAGCCUCUCAACAUUUUCUGCCUGACUGAUAUGCAGCUGAUUUGUGGGAUCUGUGCUACUCGUGGGGACCACACCAAGCAUGUCUUCUGUUCUAUUGAAGAUGCCUAUGCUCAGGAAAGGGAUGCCUUUGAGUCCCUCUUUCAGAGCUUUGAGACCUGGCGUCGGGGAGAUGCUCUUUCUCGCUUGGAUACCUUGGAAACUAGUAAGAGGAAAUCCCUACAGUUACUGACUAAAGAUUCAGAUAAAGUGAAGGAAUUUUUUGAGAAGUUACAACACACAUUGGAUCAAAAGAAGAAUGAAAUUCUGUCUGACUUUGAGACCAUGAAACUUGCUGUUAUGCAAGCAUAUGACCCAGAGAUCAACAAACUCAACACCAUCUUGCAGGAGCAACGGAUGGCCUUUAACAUUGCUGAGGCUUUCAAAGAUGUGUCAGAACCCAUUGUAUUUCUGCAACAGAUGCAGGAGUUCAGGGAGAAAAUCAAAGUAAUCAAGGAAACUCCUUUACCUCCCUCUAAUUUGCCUGCAAGCCCCUUAAUGAAGAACUUUGAUACUAGUCAAUGGGAAGACAUAAAACUAGUUGAUGUGGAUAAACUUUCUUUGCCUCAAGACACUGGCACAUUCAUUAACAAGAUUCCCUGGAGCUUUUAUAAGUUAUUUUUGCUAGUCCUGCUUGGCCUUGUCGUUCUCUUUGGUCCUACCAUGUUCCUAGAAUGGUCAUUAUUUGAUGACCUGGCAACUUGGAAAGACUGUCUUUCAGACUUUAGUUCCUAUCUGACUAAAUCAGUCGAUUUUAUAGAACAAUCAGUUUUUUACUGGGAACAGGUGACAGAUGGGUUUUUCAUUUUCAAUGAAAGAUUCAAGAAUUUUACGUUGGUGGUACUGAACAAUGCGGCAGAAUUUGUGUGCAAAUAUAAACUAUUAUAAAAUCUGUUUCAAGUAUGCAGUUCUCUUUUGUUAGAAAUUGUCAGAGAAUAGAGAGUGGUAAUUCAGAUUUGGUUAAUGAUUCUAGUCACAUAUUUUCCUCCAAAAGUAUUCCUUCCAAAAAUAAUCUAUACAUGUUCAAAUUAGGUAGCAUAAAGAUAAAAGUGAAAUUUAGUAGUAUAGACCUGAACCCUUUUUUGUUUAAAGAGUGCUUUUGACAUAAGCAUCCACCCCAAAUAUUGGUUGUAUUUAUGCUGUGAUAAAAAUAGGUGAGAGAUCAUAUGAUCUAAUAUUGUAUUGAUGGAGGUAUAGGUAGUAUAAUAGUGACUGUUCAUGAAGCACGCAGUAAAGACCACUUUUCUUUUUUUUUUUAGAUGGAGUCUUGCUCUGUUGCCCAGGUUGGAGUGCAGUGGUGCAAUCUCGGCUCAUUGCAGCCUCAAUCUCCCAGGUAUGUUUCUAUAAAACCUGAUAACCGAAAAUUGGCCAACGGAACAAAUGUCCUCGGCUUACUGAUUGAUACUUUAUUAAAAGGAAGGCUUUCAUUUGGUCAGCACUAGAACAGUACCCUCUGAAGACAAAACUGAAUGCUAUAGCUUUGAAAAGAUAAAAAGCCCUGAAGCACUCAUCAUGAAUGAAACACCAAAACCAGAGACUACAUACCAGAGCAAUCUCAGAUAAAGAAAUGAAGUUGUCUAUUAAGAGAAAUUGUCAUUUUUCUUGUUUCAUUACAUAUUUAGGGCAUACAUGUUAGCCAAAUCUAUACUCAGCCUAACUCUUGGCUUCAUCUGCUACCAUGCCAUCUCUGGGCAACCAGGCCCCAACUGUGCUUAAGCCAUAAUGCUUGCUGCUCUCUAGACAACUCCAUGUACUUGGUGCUUUGGUAUGUGUUCUACCUUCAAUACAUCUUUCCCUUACUCUUCUUCAUGAAUGCUUAUGAGCCAAGAUUGCACCACUGCACACUAGCUUGGGUGACAGAGCAAGACUGUCU